rnacentral:rRNA from 1 species
UACGUAGGGUGCGAGCGUUGUCCGGAAUUAUUGGGCGUAAAGGGCUCGUAGGCGGUUUGUCGCGUCGGGUGUGAAAUCCUCUGGCUUAACUGGGUGCUUGCUUUCGAUACGGGCAGACUAGAGGUAUGCAGGGGAGAACGGAAUUCCUGGUGUAGCGGUGAAAUGCGCAGAUAUCAGGAGGAACACCGGUGGCGAAGGCGGUUCUCUGGGCAUGAUCUGACGCUGAGGAGCGAAAGUGUGGGGAGCGAACAGG